GGGAGGCGCUGACGAGACCUGGAGGUUUCAGAUUUGCAUCUGGAGAAUAGGACGAUCCUCAUAAGGCUGGGAUGAAGCACGCCAGGCAAAUGGGACAAGGCUGUUUGUAAAUCUGAAGUAGGUCCAAAUUAUAAGAACCAUGACUCUGAGAAGGCAAAUACCAUGACACAAACCACAAUGUAGAUGCGUGGGAAGGACUUGGGAACACUUACAAUACCAGUCCAAAAGACCCAGAAGUCCAGCUUUGAAGAAAACCUGGAAAAAACGAGAAUCCCGAGUCUCCCCCAUGGUACAGGAGACACAGAAAUAGAAGGGCAUGGAGCAGGAGGCCUGCACUUCAUCCCCCUGGGGCACUUCUAAGGCUCACCAUUGGAGUCUGGCCUUUGGCAGCAGCGCCUAGGAGGGAGGAGAGUCUCCUCUGCGCCCCCACCAUCGGCCCAGUGCCCACCCCCUCAACAGUGAAGAACAUUAGUUCAAUACAGAAUCGUAUGCCUUCAUUGCAGGGAAAAAAAAAAACCCCACAAUUAAGCAGAGAGAAAAAUUGUCUAUAAUCCCAGUAUGCACAGAUAAAAUAAGAUAAAGAUGUCUAAGUGGCAUCAUGCUAUAUACGUGAUUAUAGUACCUAUAUGUCCUGUAAUCUACUUAAAAAUUAUAUUGAAGGUAAUUUUCAUAUCAGUGAUAUAAUUUGCACCUUUUUUAAAUAGAGUAUUGUAUGAUUGUUUUUAAAAAAUUAAGAUCUUUCCUUUUUAGUACUUUGGGGUUUAAUUUAUAUGCAGCAAAAAUUCACUCUUUAGUCGGCAAUUGUAUGAGAUUUUUUGGUGCUAUUUAAAACACUUUUGACCUUGACAGUAAAAUUCCCUUUCUCUGUUGCAUGGUUCUAGUUUUUACACAUGAACGGAUUCUUGUAGCCACUGUCACAGACAGGACACAGAACGGUUCUGUUUCUAUGAAUUUUGAUAAAUAUGUGUAGUCCUAUAAUCUCUUGCAUUUGAAUUACAUGAAAAAUUAAAGCCUUGGACGUGAGGCUAGAAUUCUCCUUUGAUGAACUCACAAUGGAGGUAGCUCCCUUCUCUCCAGAGGUGACCAGUUACACCAGGUUGGUGUGUAAUAGUCCAGACCUUUUCUGUGCCCUUAACUAAGUUAUAUUUGGGAAAACAUAAAUUAAUGAAAUUGGCCUAAGGAGAUUAGCCCAUAGGAAAUACAUAAUGAGAUGUUUAAAAUAUGUUAGAGAUAGUAUCAUAGUUUACAUAUUUACCAACUUGGUUUUUUUUUCAUUCUGUACUCUUAAGAUAAUUUUGCAUCUUAAUACAUAAACCAAAAUAAGCAACAAUUUAGAACAUACACGAAAAUAGAGAAAAUUGUGUAUGAACCCAUUGUAGUUGUCAUCCAGUAUUACUAAUUAUCAGCUCAUAGUCAGUCUUGUUUUGUAUAUACUCCAACCCACUACUCUAUUUCCUGGAUUAUUUUGAUAUCACUCAUUUAAAAAUUUUUAUGUAGAAUUCUCUUUGUUCUAGAUUAUAAUCAUUUCUUUUUUGUACAAAUUCCAGAGGUUUCUCCUGGUCUAAUAGUGAUCUUAACUUUGUUUUGGCAUUUCAGUCUUAGGGAAGUUUUAAAAUUUUAAUGUAGUCAAAGUUACAAAUACUUUUCAUUUGUAUUUUUGCUGGUUUUUUUGCAUAUUUUAAAAGAAGGCCUUCUCUAAUUGAAGAAUUCAGGGUCAUAAAUAUGUUCUUCUGCAUUUCCAGUCUAAUGCUUUAAAAAUAGAUAUUGACAGUUGUAAACUAGCUGUAUUUGUGUAAUCUAGCUGUAUGUAUGUGUGUGUGAAUGUAAUGUUUCUGAAUUCUGUACUUUGUACCAUUGUUUCUGAGCCGAAAGCACAUAUGCUUUGAUAUCUGGUAGGGCACAUUAUCCCUAAUUAUUCACUUAUUUAAAACUUGUCUUUGACAAUUCUAACAUUCUUUUGUAUACAUUUUUAGUGUUUUGUUGCUAUGGCAAA